rnacentral:piRNA from 1 species
UGCUGGAUUCCAACCAGGCCUGAACCCUCU